rnacentral:rRNA from 1 species
AUGGAAUUGGUGGUGUAGGGGUAAAAUCCGUAGAUAUCACCAAGAAUACCCAUUGCGAAGGCGAUCUGCUGGAACUCAACUGACGCUAAGGCGCGAAAGCGUGGGGAGCAAACAGGAUUAGAUACCCUGGUAGUCCACGCCCUAAACGAUGUACACUAGUUGUUGGGGUGCUAGUCAUCUCAGUAAUGCAGCUAACGCAUUAAGUGUACCGCCUGGGGAGUACGGUCGCAAGAUUAAAACUCAAAGGAAUAGACGGGGACCCGCACAAGCGGUGGAGCAUGUGGUUUAAUUCGAAGAUACGCGAAGAACCUUACCUGGGCUUGAUAUCCUAAGAACCUUUUAGAGAUAAGAGGGUGCUAGCUUGCUAGAACUUAGAGACAGGUGCUGCACGGCUGUCGUCAGCUCGUGUCGUGAGAUGUUGGGUUAAGUCCCGCAACGAGCGCAACCCACGUAUUUAGUUGCUAACGGUUCGGCCGAGCACUCUAAAUAGACUGCCUUCGUAAGGAGGAGGAAGGUGUGGACGACGUCAAGUCAUCAUGGCCCUUAUGCCCAGGGCGACACACGUGCUACAAUGGCAUAUACAAUGAGACGCAAUACCGCGAGGUGGAGCAAAUCUAUAAAAUAUGUCCCAGUUCGGAUUGUUCUCUGCAACUCGAGAGCAUGAAGCCGGAAUCGCUAGUAAUCGUAGAUCAGCCAUGCUACGGUGAAUACGUUCCCGGGUCUUGUACUCACCGCCCGUCACACCAUGGGAGUUGAUUUCACUCGAAGCCGGAAUACUAAACUAGUUACCGUCCACAGUGGAAUCAGCGACUGGGGUGAAGUCGUAACAAGGUAACCGUAGGAGAACCUGCGGUUGGAUC